rnacentral:lncRNA from 1 species
AGUUAAGCAGAAUGGGAAAAUGGCAUACAAUCUAAUUUACCUUUCCAGCUCUUGGCACAUGGGUAGAUUAAAGAUGUAUAGAGGAAGGAGGAGAGCAUUUUAGCUGGAGGCAGUAAAGGAAGUUGAAUUAUGAGUGAGAGAUCUGAUAGGAAAAGGAAGGAAAUUAAAGACAGGCUGGGUUAUGGAGCCCCUUGACUUCAGGCUGACUUAAAGCAGUAGGCAACAGGGAAUCGCCAAAGGCUGCUGGGCAAGAAACCGUGGUAACGGUCCUAUGGGGGCAAGAUAUCUCUGGCAGCCAGUGCCAGGUGGAUUGCAAAGGGACUGAGUAGGAGGGCUGGAACUCAGGACAAGCUGCUGAGGGAUGCUGGAAAGGAAAGCUUGGUGGACGCGCUGACUCCUGGCACAUUAAGAAUGAAGAAAGUGGUGCCAUCCAAAUGGUUUCUCCGACCUUGACCUCCACAGGCUGGGAGAAUAACAGCACCUCCACCAGGAAGUGUGGUUGGGCACCGAGGAGAGAAUGUGCUUUGUUUCAGGACCCACAGCAGGAAUUUGAACACAGAUCAGUUAGACCCCAAGCCAAGCUCUUAGUCCCAUACAGAGUUGGGCCCUGGUGGAAGAAUUGUUUGGCCUAAAGUGUCAACAGUGUCAAGAUUGAGAAGCCCUUGUGUAGACCCAAGGAUGGGCAAAAGGCUCUUAGGAAGAUGGCAGCGCUUCACAGAUGCAGUGCCCAAGUCUCUCUGGCCACGGAAUCCCCCAGAGUUCUGGUGAUCACCUCCAUAUCUCCAAAUAAUGUGUUUCUACCACCACUUCUUGCUUUAUCAACUAUGCACUUUAUCUACUGACCUUCUACCGGGAUAAAUGAAGACUCAGCUCACCAAAAACUCACCUGCCUCUCUUUCAUCCUUCUUCCCAAGAUAGCUAAAUCAGUUCUUAAUUCUUCUACUGGUCACCUUUGUGUAAA